ANAGUUUGAUGAUGGCUCAGAUUGAACGCUGGCGGCAUGCUUAACACAUGCAAGUCGAACGGUAACAGGACGCUAGGAUCCCUUCGGGGUGACUUUGUCGCUGACGAGUGGCGGACGGGUGAGUAAUGCAUAGGAAUCUGCCCAGUAGUGGGGGAUAACGUGGAGAAAUCCACGCUAAUACCGCAUGUGUCCUACGGGACAAAGCAGGGGACCUUCGGGCCUUGCGCUAUUGGAUGAGCCUAUGUUGGAUUAGCUUGUUGGUAGAGUAAAAGCCUACCAAGGCGACGAUCCAUAGCUGGUCUGAGAGGAUGAUCAGCCACACCGGAACUGAGACACGGUCCAGACUCCUACGGGAGGCAGCAGUGGGGAAUAUUGCACAAUGGGCGCAAGCCUGAUGCAGCAAUGCCGCGUGUGUGAAGAAGGCCUGCGGGUUGUAAAGCACUUUUAUUAGGAAAGAAAAACCCGGAGCUAAUACCUCCGGCAUUGACGGUACCUAAAGAAUAAGCACCGGCUAACUCAGUGCCAGCAGCCGCGGUAAUACUGAGGGUGCUAGCGUUAAUCGGAAUUACUGGGCGUAAAGCGAGUGUAGGCGGCUACUUAAGUCGGAUGUGAAAUCCCCGGGCUCAACCUGGGAAUUGCAUUCGAUACUGGGUAGCUAGAGUUUGGUAGAGGUAAGUGGAAUUCCGGGUGUAGCGGUGAAAUGCGUAGAUAUCCGGAGGAACAUCAGUGGCGAAGGCGGCUUACUGGACCAAAACUGACGCUGAGGCUCGAAAGCGUGGGGAGCAAAC
rnacentral:rRNA from 1 species